UUUAAAUUUAAAUAUUAAUAAACUCUAGAUAAGUAGUAGAUAGGUACUUAAAAAUUAAAAAAUUUGGCGGUGAUUUAAUCUUUUCAGAGGAACUUGUUUUUUAAUCGAUAAACCACGUUUAAUCUUACUUAUUUUGGUAUAAACAGUAUGUAUACCAUCAUUAACAGGUAAUUUUAAAAGAAAAAAUUACUAAAAAUAAUUAAUUAAAAAAAUUAGAUCAUGGUGCAGCUUAUAAAUAAGGUAAAAUGAGUUACAAUAAAGUUUUUUAUAUGAAUUAGUAAAGGAAGAGUUUACUAUAAAGGUGGAUUUGAUUGUAAAUGUGGAUUAAUAAGCUUAUUUGAUAUUGGUGCUAAAUCAUGUACAUAUCGCCCGUCGCUUUCGCUAACCGAAAUAAGUCCGAACCUA
rnacentral:rRNA from 1 species